rnacentral:rRNA from 1 species
AGCCCUUAGCGAAACAAGUAUUAAAGGUACCGCCUGCCCAGUGAAAAANNNNNNNNNCUUUAACGGCCGCGAGACANAACCGUGCGAAGGUAGCGAAAUCACUUGUCUCCUAAAUAGAGACCUGUAUGAAAGGCCUCAUGAGAAAGAAACUGUCUCUUGAAGAUAGUAAAUGAAACUGAUCUGCCUGUGAAAAAGCAGGCAUAAUAAAACAAGACAAAAAGACCCUGUGAAACUUUAAUUACAGCGCUACCUUUAUUGGCACCACUUUUAGGUUGGGGCAACCAGAGANGAAACAAAACCUCUUNCACCCGACUAGACCAACGAGUCUGGCCAACUUUCAUAUCGACCCAGUAAAACUGAUCAACGAACCAAGCUACUCCAGGGAUAACAGCGCCAAAUUCUUGAAGAGUCCUCAUCAACAAGAAUCCCUACGACCUCGAUGUUGGAUCAGGGUAACCUGACAGUGCAGACGCUGUCAAAGGUUCGUUUGUUCAANCGAUUAAUAUCCU